GGAUGUGAGGGGGAUCUAGUUGCAAUAUCUGUCACCCCACUGGUGGAUAGGGUUGAUUUGGCUGGUGUGGCUAGCUAGGCAGGUGUCUGUUUCCUCCCUUACCACUCCAUGUUCGUCUCUCCCACAGCGGAAGAGGCCAACCUGCUCUAAGAGAAGAAAUGUACAGGUCAAGGGUAUACAGUAGCUGGGAAGCCCUGCUAGGUCCUCCAGAUAAGUCAUGCAUGACCUGUCCUCUUUCCCAUGGAGCUAGUCUGUCACCUUCCCACCCAAGAUGAGGUGGAGAAACAGUAUCUACAUCUACUAGCUU
rnacentral:snRNA from 1 species